rnacentral:rRNA from 1 species
UACAGAGGGUGCAAGCGUUGUUCGGAAUUAUUGGGCGUAAAGCGCACGUAGGCGGCCAUUUAAGUCGAAUGUGAAAUCCCUGGGCUCAACCUGGGAACUGCAGGCGAUACUGAGUGGCUAGAGUGUCAUAGAGGAUGGUGGAAUUCCCAGUGUAGAAGUGAAAUUCGUAGAUAUUGGGAGGAACAUCGGUGGCGAAGGCGACCAUCUGGGUGACAACUGACGCUGAGGUGCGAAAGUGUGGGUAGCAAACAGG